rnacentral:rRNA from 1 species
GGAAUCAACGCUGGCGGCGUGCCUAACACAUGCAAGUCGAACGCGGUUAUCCAGCAAUGGGAUAACUGAGUGGCGAACGGGUGAGUAACACGUGGGUGACCUACCUUCGAGUGGGGGAUAACGUCCCGAAAGGGACGCUAAUACCGCAUAACAUCCUGCCUUUGAACAGGCGGAGAUCAAAGCCGGGGAUCGCAAGACCUGGCGUUUGACCCCGGGCCCGNGUCCGAUUAGCUAGUUGGUGAGGUAACGGCUCACCAAGGCGACGAUCGGUAACCGGCCUGAGAGGGCGGACGGUCACACCGGGACUGAGACACGGCCCACACCCCGACGGGAGGCCGCAACGGGGAAU